CAAAAGUUGUGUUGAAGAUAUGACGUAAAUGUGGUGCGUAGAGUAGUUUGUUGCCAUACUUUAAAUGUUCUUACUUUACCAUAUGUAAUAGUCUAUACUGUAAUUUCGCCCUUUCAGGGUGACUUCCAGUAAUUUGCCUGUCUCUACCAUGGUAAAACCUCUGUUUACAGUCCCACAUACUGUAACGUAAAAUGCUGUAUUCAAUGUUAUCUGUUUCCCUUCUUCAGAUGCGUCUGUGAUCAAUGUGAUGGAUACAUAUUGAUUGUUUCAUCUCUCUUGUACUCUCUCUUGCUCUACUUAUUUAUAUUUAUCAACCCCCCCCCCCCCCUCCAUACACACACUUACUAACACACAAACACACUGAAUAUUUUAUUGUUGCCAAUCUUAUUUCUCAUUGUCUCAUAAAUAAGAGACAAGUACAGUUUGGAUAUUUAAAAGCAUCAUACAUUCUGUUAAUCUUGUCAACAAAUUCGAAAGCAUCAGUUUACAUGUGCAUUAUAGCAUAAUCUCAUCUCCUGACUACUUUCAUAUUCUCUCGACUUCAGAAUGAACCGUAAAUCAGAAAAUACAGCAAAUGGACUGGAAUUAAUACAAGCUAGCUGUAGCAGAGAGCAGUUUCAUCUUAAUGACGAAUGAGCUCUAAAAUCAGCGUGAAUCAUCAGCCUGCAGGCUGUAAAAUCUGGUUUACUCUGAGGUCCCUCAGGAGAAGACAUUUGGACAGGUUGUGUAUGUGUGUUUCUGUUUGUUUUCUAGGGCGACACGUAUAAAUAGAAUCUGUGAAACCACCUUGGCGGUGUAAUUACAGAAAUGUCAAAUGAAAAAUCUGUCCCACACAGCCACAUUAAAAUGUAGUGAUGUAUUUGAAAUGUGCCAUCUCCAUUCAAAUUAGGUAUAAUCAUCUGAAAAAUGUGACUUGUGCACAAUAUUUGAAAUAUUCUGAAUAAAUACAGCUUUAGAUAAGGGACAGACUGAAAUUUGAUGAUUUAAGUGGAGGAGCAGGUAAAGAUUAGCACUAAAUAAUAACGUAAAUUUCAUCCUGUUGCUCACACAACGUAAUUGCAUAGCUAUAGAAGAAGAAAAAUGUCUUAAGAACAGAUUAUAAACAUCAGAAGUGGGAUGAGGAUGUGGAAGAUUGCUCCAAAAUCAUGGAGUUGUUAUAGAGAAACGAUGAUCACCCUUACAUUUUAAGGGGACGUGGCUAUUUUUAAGACCUUAAAGGCUUUUACGUUUAAGAGAUCAGAAAUGUAACAAGGAGACAUUUAAAACUCUGAAAAAAAUUCUAAGACUAAGCUAAAUUCUAGUGCAUUGAAAUCCAUUGAAGAUAGUCUCUUCCUGAUUCCAGUCAGUAGUAUUAUAUACUGUGUAAUCUUGUGUCGUAUAACAAUCAGUUAAUCGGUCAGUUAGCAAUUACAUGAAUUAAUUACACAUUUAUCAUUUACAUGUGCAAAGCCCUCUUUCAAAACAACCGAUCUAAAUUAAUGUCAUGUUAUCGGAAUAAAUAAUUGAAGUGUUUACGUUCAGGUGUCAACCGUAAGAUUACAUUGCCAGGAAACAAACCAAAGAGACGUUCAUACCAGUUGCCUCCUUUGAUAAGAGAAUCCACUCCACAGCGUGCUGACAGUUUUCCUGGUCCCGUGAUUGACAGUGCUCUCGAACCACAAAUUAUCUCUCCAACCAGCCCUGCAAGCCUGGGAUAGAUUGUUCUGUUACCUUUCACAAAACAAGAGAUGGCACAUGGGCUGUUUCUAAGAGGAACCGUAUGAGAUUAAGUGUGUGUAAAUGAGUCUUAUUUUUUUUUAUUUUUUUCCUAAGCAACACUGUCCAGCAGCAACAGAGGUGGCCUCUCCUUUGAUGCCCUUGAGCUCCUAAAGUGAGGCAUGUAUAUAAUCAGGGUAAAACAAUACUGAUAAAAAAGGUCAGCUGGCUAUUUACACAAAAAUGUCACACACACACACACACACACAUAAUUGCUGUUAAUGUAUUACCAUGUUGUUAUUUUUUCAAGUAAUGUAAAACUGUUUAAAAACACAUAAGACUUUGAUAUGAUUUGCUAUUAAUAAAUAAUAUUGAUUAUGAUAAUAAUCAAAAAUAUAUAUGACCAUGUUGAGAGUGUAAAUGCUGUUUCUAAAGUUUUAACCAUAUGAAAAUCGAAUGGAACUGGAACAUGAACAUGGUAAUAUAUUUGUUCCAUCUAUUAAUUUAUUUUUUAAAU
ensembl:lncRNA